UGCGUAGGCGGUUUGCUAUGUCGGAUGUGAAAACUCUGGGCUCAACCCAGAGCCUGCAUCCGAAACUGGCGAGCCAGAGUUCUGGAGGGGGUAGCGGAAUUCCUGGUGUAGCGGUGAAAUGCGUAGAUAUCAGGAGGAACACCGGUGGCGAAGGCGGCUACCUGGACAGAAACUGACGCUGAGGCACGAAAGCUAGGGGAGCAAACA
rnacentral:rRNA from 1 species